GCAUGGGUUUUUUUUUCCCCCUCCCUUGAUUGCUUAUUACUUCCCACAAGCCAUGAACUGGUGCUAUUGGAACACUGUUGUUCUAAUUGCCCACUUCUAUUAGAAUGCCAACGCACUGGGCCUUGUCCUGACCCAACCCCCACCACCUCGUUCUUUCCUUCCACGGUCUCGCUGUGAGUCUGGCAUCAGCACCGCUGGGGCUGAGGUUAAUGCGUACACCGUACAACUCAUUAACUGCACAUUAGUAUCAGAGCCAAGAAUCAACAUGAUUGAUCCAACAAUAUGUUUGGGCUUGGGUCAGAGUCUCAGCUGAGGACUCAUCGAAAGAAAAGGAGAAAAGGACCAAAAGUCAAGGAAACGAAGGAGAUAAAGGCAAAAAACUGCCAGAAAACUCAUGGACAAUCCUAAUUAAUGUCUGAGAGUAGAAUGACAUGACCAUGCCUUUAUUUUAGCUCUGUUGGCAAUACAGUGGAUGGAUGAUUUGGAGUGAGUGAUCAAGGAACUUGGAAUUUAAACAAAAAAUGGAUGUGUAGAUGAAUAGCAGCAAUAUUAUAGUGGAAGGGAAUAAACAUGUAAGUGGCACCUA